GGGGUGACUCUGAACCCCAAAGGAAGACACUGCUUACUUCUUAUCAGCAGAAAGGUCCUUUCGCGUCAGAAGAAUAGUCGCCGGAAGAGACUAUGUUAGUUCUUAUGUGUUGGUAUACUAUGGGACAACAAAAUGGAUCAGGGACGGCUUCUGUUCUAAAAAUACUUUGAUCUACUGAGGGCCAUAAUCAAGAUAUCCAAAGCAGGAUUAAAGAAACCAGCUUUCAGGGAGGAAUGUCGUAAUUAAAAACUAAACAAACAGACAAAGGACAAAAGAAGGUGUUCCUGUCCCAGAUGUCUUUCCUGAGGCUUGGUUUGUUUACAUCUGAAGUGAAGAUGAUACCGUGUAUUGAAGGGGGAAACUUGUCUCCUCAGGAACUAAGAUUCUGAAAUGACUAUGAAGAAAUUUCUUAUAUACACGCUUAAAGUUGUGAUGUCGUUCCUCCUAUACGUUUUCAAAAUUAUGCUCUCCUGUAGUCUCGCACCUCUCCUCAGAUCUCAGAGACCUGGAUGAAAAGGUA